ensembl:lncRNA
GGACUCAACCUGCCGGACUCAUGCAAGUAGAGCGCUGAACUAUCGUGUUGGAAUUCGUCGGAAAAGGUUCAUAAUGGUUAUGCGCUCUAUACGAUUGCGUACACGCCCACAUCGUGGAGUCCAUCCUCCUGACCUGACGAAGGCCGCCUCCUCAUACCUGUGCCCCCGCAUCUCUGGGAUCCUCAGAGUCCAUCGUCUUAUGCGGCCGCUGCUGUCCUCUCCUCCUCCUCUGGCUGAGACCACCCUUCACCCACCCUCAGCUGCCCCUCAUGCCCAGGGCGCAGGCAGGGUUCCACCAUCACUCCUAGUCCUGCCUGCGUACGGUUGAGUGUUUGGGCGCACAAUGGCGACCAAGCUGCGCAUCGGGUUCUAUAUCCUGGCGGCAAGCUGCCUGCCCUUCCUCUACAUCCUGUGUGUGAGCCUUGAGAUUUGGGCGUCUGGCAGGCAAGUCGGGCUCAACUACUCAUACACACACACGCACACGCACGCACACACACACACACACACACACACACACACACACACACACACACACACACACACACACACACACACACACACA